AAUCCAUAGGUUAAUGAGGCGAACCGGGGGAACUGAAACAUCUAAGUACCCCGAGGAAAAGAAAUCAACCGAGAUUCCCCCAGUAGCGGCGAGCGAACGGGGAGGAGCCCAGAGCCUGAAUCAGCAUGUGUGUUAGUGGAAGCGUCUGGAAAGGCGCGCGAUACAGGGUGACAGCCCCGUACACAAAAGCGCAUGUGCUGUGAGCUCGAUGAGUAGGGCGGGACACGUGGUAUCCUGUCUGAAUAUGGGGGGACCAUCCUCCAAGGCUAAAUACUCCUGACUGACCGAUAGUGAACCAGUACCGUGAGGGAAAGGCGAAAAGAACCCCGGCGAGGGGAGUGAAAAAGAACCUGAAACCGUGUACGUACAAGCAGUGGGAGCACCCUUUGGGUGUGACUGCGUACCUUUUGUAUAAUGGGUCAGCGACUUAUAUUCUGUAGCAAGGUUAACCGAAUAGGGGAGCCGGAGGGAAACCGAGUCUUAACCGGGCGUUAAGUUGCAGGGUAUAGACCCGAAACCCGGUGAUCUAGCCAUGGGCAGGUUGAAGGUUGGGUAACACUAACUGGAGGACCGAACCGACUAAUGUUGAAAAAUUAGCGGAUGACCUGUGGCUGGGGGUGAAAGGCCAAUCAAACCGGGAGAUAGCUGGUUCUCCCCGAAAGCUAUUUAGGUAGCGCCUCGUGAAUUCAUCUCCGGGGGUAGAGCACUGUUUCGGCUAGGGGGCCAUCCCGGCUUACCAACCCGAUGCAAACUGCGAAUACCGGAGAAUGUUAUCACGGGAGACACACGGCGGGUGCUAACGUCCGUCGUGAAGAGGGAAACAACCCAGACCGCCAGCUAAGGUCCCAAAGUCAUGGUUAAGUGGGAAACGAUGUGGGAAGGCCCAGACAGCCAGGAUGUUGGCUUAGAAGCAGCCAUCAUUUAAAGAAAGCGUAAUAGCUCACUGGUCGAGUCGGCCUGCGCGGAAGAUGUAACGGGGCUAAACCAUGCACCGAAGCUGCGGCAGCGACACUGUGUGUUGUUGGGUAGGGGAGCGUUCUGUAAGCCUGUGAAGGUGUGUCGUGAGGCAUGCUGGAGGUAUCAGAAGUGCGAAUGCUGACAUAAGUAACGAUAAAGCGGGUGAAAAGCCCGCUCGCCGGAAGACCAAGGGUUCCUGUCCAACGUUAAUCGGGGCAGGGUGAGUCGACCCCUAAGGCGAGGCCGAAAGGCGUAGUCGAUGGGAAACGGGUUAAUAUUCCCGUACUUGGUGUUACUGCGAAGGGGGGACGGAGAAGGCUAUGUUGGCCGGGCGACGGUUGUCCCGGUUUAAGCGUGUAGGUGUGUGUUCCAGGUAAAUCCGGUUCACUUUAACACUGAGGCGUGACGACGAGGCACUACGGUGCUGAAGCAACAAAUGCCCUGCUUCCAGGAAAAGCCUCUAAGCAUCAGGUAACAUCAAAUCGUACCCCAAACCGACACAGGUGGUCAGGUAGAGAAUACCAAGGCGCUUGAGAGAACUCGGGUGAAGGAACUAGGCAAAAUGGUGCCGUAACUUCGGGAGAAGGCACGCUGACACGUAGGUGAAGUGAUUUACUCAUGGAGCUGAAGUCAGUCGAAGAU
rnacentral:rRNA from 1 species